GGAGUGUGGAGCAAGCGGCCGGUCUGCAGUCGGAGACUUGCAGGCAGCAAACACGGUGCGAGCGAACAGGAGUGGGGGGGGUGGAAAUAAAAAAAGCUAAACGUGGAGCAGCCGAUCGGGGACCGAGAAGGGGAAUCGAUGCAAGGAGCACAAUAAAACAAAAGCUACUUCGGAACAAACAGCAUUUAAAAAUCCACGACUCAAGAUAACAGAAACCUAAAAUAAAACCUGCUCAUGCACCAUGGUUUUUCAAACUCGGUACCCUUCAUGGAUUAUUUUAUGCUACAUCUGGCUGCUCCGCUUUGCACACACGGGGGAGGCGCAGGCUGCGAAGGAAGUACUACUGCUGGAUUCUAAAGCACAACAAACAGAGUUGGAGUGGAUUUCCUCUCCACCCAAUGGGUGGGAAGAAAUUAGUGGUUUGGAUGAGAACUAUACCCCGAUACGAACAUACCAGGUGUGCCAAGUCAUGGAGCCCAACCAAAACAACUGGCUGCGGACUAACUGGAUUUCUAAAGGCAAUGCACAAAGGAUUUUUGUAGAAUUGAAAUUCACCCUGAGGGAUUGUAACAGUCUUCCUGGAGUACUGGGAACUUGCAAGGAAACAUUUAAUUUGUACUAUUAUGAAACAGACUAUGACACUGGCAGGAAUAUAAGAGAAAAUCUCUAUGUAAAAAUAGACACCAUUGCUGCAGAUGAAAGUUUUACCCAAGGUGACCUUGGUGAAAGAAAGAUGAAGCUUAACACUGAGGUGAGAGAGAUUGGACCUUUGUCCAAAAAGGGAUUCUAUCUUGCCUUUCAGGAUGUAGGGGCUUGCAUAGCUUUGGUUUCUGUCAAAGUAUACUACAAGAAGUGCUGGUCCAUUAUUGAGAACUUAGCUAUCUUUCCAGAUACAGUGACUGGUUCAGAAUUUUCCUCUUUAGUCGAGGUUCGAGGGACAUGUGUCAGCAGUGCAGAGGAAGAGGCGGAAAACUCCCCCAGGAUGCACUGCAGUGCAGAAGGAGAAUGGUUAGUGCCCAUUGGAAAAUGUAUCUGCAAGGCGGGCUACCAGCAAAAAGGGGACACUUGUGAACCCUGUGGCCGUGGGUUCUACAAGUCUUCCUCUCAAGAUCUUCAGUGCUCUCGUUGUCCAACUCACAGUUUUUCUGAUAAAGAAGGCUCCUCCAGAUGUGAAUGUGAAGAUGGGUAUUACAGGGCUCCAUCUGACCCACCGUACGUUGCAUGCACAAGGCCUCCAUCUGCACCACAGAACCUCAUUUUCAACAUCAACCAAACCACAGUAAGUUUGGAAUGGAGUCCUCCUGCAGACAAUGGAGGAAGAAACGAUGUGACCUACAGAAUAUUGUGUAAGCGGUGCAGUUGGGAGCAAGGCGAAUGUGUUCCCUGUGGGAGUAACAUUGGAUACAUGCCCCAGCAGACUGGAUUAGAGGAUAACUAUGUCACUGUCAUGGACCUGCUAGCCCACGCUAAUUAUACUUUUGAAGUUGAAGCUGUAAAUGGAGUUUCUGACUUAAGCCGAUCCCAGAGGCUCUUUGCGGCUGUCAGUAUCACCACUGGUCAAGCAGCAAGAAUUUUGGAAAAUUUGGACUGAUGAUACUAGGAAAAAGGAUGAGUACUUUUCCAGUUUCCACUGUCACUUCUAUACAGGUCCACUGAGCUGCACUGUACUACACUUAAUCUUAGCCAUGACGCUGACAAGCAGCUGAGCUUCACUGUAAAUAUACUUUGAAACCAAUUCUGUGAGAAUAUUUUUAAACAAGUGCUAUUAUUAAAAGUCUUUUCAAAAGUGAAGUACCAAUUUCCUGUGAUCUCAGUGAACGACAAAAAAGUCAAGCACCUAACAAUGUCAGGUGUGUAGUAGUUGCAUAAUAUGUAUUUUGUUGAGAAAAUAGAUUAAUAUAUUAUUUCUAUUGAACUGAACUGUGUGAGGCAAUGUAGCAUGUUGUCUACGUUUGCCUUAAAGCAGAGUUAUAUAAUGAAAGCCUAUUCAUUCAGUCUUUGCUUGUGGAUGCUAUGAAAAGAUAAAAUGACAUAGUGGUUUACAAUAGUAGCUGAAAAAUAGAAAGUACAUAUCUUUGAAGAAAUAAUUAAUCGAUAAACUAAACAAGGUAUAAUGUAGUUGAAUUGCUAUUUGCCACACAUAUACAAAUUACAUGGGGAAGUUACUGGAUGAGAAAACAACAUUGCUUCAAUUGUUUAUAUAGUUCAUGUAAAGUAAUAAUUUGUCCUUAGUUAUUCAGAUGAUUUCCUUAACUCUCCAUGAUAAUUUAUUUGAAAAAAUGUUUAUGUGUGUAUGUGAAAUAAAUUUAGUAUGCAUUCUAAACGAAAUCUCUGUUUCUAAAUAAGUUAUAAAUGAAAAAAUAAGACUUAUGUCUAGGUUUGAUUUUUAAAAGCUCUGGAAUUUUUUUUGGAUCUUUCUGCUAAAUAUAUAAUCUGCCUAUUUCAGGAAGGCAUGUAUUCAGUAGUUGCAGAAUUUGGAAAUAGAUUAAAGGUGAAGAAAACUGAGAAAAGACCUUUGUGUUUAGCGAGAAAGAUAUUGAAAACCUUAUAAAACAAAACACGAUUUUAUUAUAGUAGUGUGACUAUACAUGUGGAAAGUAAAACUAAGGAGAAUUGUUAAGGCCAUCUCUGUUUCCUUCUUUUCUUAAAAUACAGUGAUAUCCUUCAUUUGUAGUAUUGUAAUGUAUACUUUUGUGCCAAAAUUAUAACUAAACUUUUACAGAUUUACUGCAUUUCCAUGUUGCUAAUUUUACAAUUCAGCAUCUGCAAUACUUUCCCCCAAAUAGCCAUCAGAUUAUCAAAAUGUUUCACAUAUAUGCCCACUCUUGACUGUGAACCUAAACAGACAGAUCAUCUAAUGAAAAGCCAGUUAAGAAAUAUUGUGGGUAGGUGUGCAUGUUCUCCAUACAGCAGAGUCCUAAGAUCAGUUAUAGAAUAAGGAGUUAAUAAAUGCUUUACACCUUUUGAAAUGCCUUCUUAGCUGAUAGCCAAGCUAACAUAAAAAAGAGAAAAGUAAAUAUUUUGCCCUUGGAGAAAAUGCUGUUGAUUGGCUUGGAUAAAGAGCAAGUUUCAGAAAGGAAAUCAGCAUAUUGAAGAGCUAUCUGCACCUCUAUGUUUAUUGUAGCAUUAUUCACAAUAGCCAAGAUAUGAAAUCAACCUAAGUGUCGAUCAACAGGUCAACAGAUUUUUUUAAUGUGGUACAUAUAUACACUAUGGAAUACUAUUCAGCCAUAAAAAAGAAAGAAAUCUGGUCAUUUGUAGCAAUAUUGUUGAGCCUGGAGGAUAUUAUGUUAAGUGAAAUAAGUCAGGUACAGAAAUACAAAUACUACUACAUGUUCUCACUUAUAUGUAAGAGCUAAAAAGUUUGAUUUAAUAGAAGCAGAUAGUAAAAUAGUGGUUACUGAGAAGGUUGGGGAGAGAGGAAGAUAGAGGUUGGUUCAUAUAUACAAAACUAGAGCUAUAUAGGAGAAAUAAACUGUGGUGUUCUUUAGUAGUGGUGUGAUAUAGUUAACGAUAAUUUAUUUUAUAUCUUCAAAUAGCUAGAAGAGAGGAUUCUGAAUGUUCCCAGCACAAAGAAAUGAUAUUAACAAAUGUUUGAGGUAAUGGACCUGCUAAUCAACCUAAUUUCAUCAUUACACAUUGUAUACUUGUAUCAAAAUAUUACUAUGUACCUCAUAAAUAUGUAACAUUAUUAUGUGUCAAUUAAAAAGAGUCACUUUCAUCCUAUGAUUACCAUGUUGUGUACUGUUUGAAAACAAUUUAAUUGCUAUGUUUAACAUUGUAUAACAAGAAUUAUUUCAACUUCCUUAGUUAUCUCCUUCCCUCAUUCCACUGACUGAAAUUUUUCGCAAUUCCUCCCAAAUAUAGUUUAUCUUCUAACUAGUGUAAAAGGAUAAACCUGCUUAUACUUUAGGUGAGAGUUUACAUUGCUAAUAAUUUAAUUAAUUAAUAUUCUUGUUCAGUAUCUUCUACUCCAAGAAUGAGUCUUUGUUUGUUUGUUUUUUUUUUUAAUUUCUUCAGCUGAUGAGUGUAAUGGAAAGAAGAUGGGCUCUGAAGCAAGAGACCUGGUUUCGCUUUCCAGUUCUGCCACAGUCUCCUUGUAUAAAGUAGAACAUACGUAUAACAAAAGUAUUUAUACAAAAUAUAAUCAAAAAUAUUUGAGACAGUAAGAUUAUUUGAGAAAAUCAACGAAGUUACUAAGUUUAUUUAGUCAGUCAUACUCUAUAAAGGCUGAAAUGUAUUCUUUAAGAGAUGUCUCCUUUUUUAAAAAAAAAAAGUAUACAAAGAAUAGCUGUGUUGGAAAAGUAUUUGAAAAAUCAAAUAUGUCAGGAUUCAUACACAUUUCGUGGCAUAGCACUCACAUUCUUUAUUAGGUGUGAAGUAAAAUUCUUGGAACAGCUCUUGGACCAUAUGCUGUUGCUAGUUAGCGUGUCUAAAAAUGAUAAUUGUAUUUUCAUAUUUACAUUAAUAUUGCUUAUAAUCUGGCUUAGAUAUUAAUUAACAAAAGCUUUUAACCUUUCUGUUUGAAAUAAAUAAUGAUUAGCAAUUAAACAUUUCAGUUACUUCUGAUUGUAAAAGUAUGAUAAGUGUUUAGUGGCUAGUGUCUCAUUCAGAAGUUGUAGGUCAUACUCUGCAGUUAUUUAUCUUUGGUGUGUGUUACUUAUAUUAUUACAAUGCAGAUCUGAAAAAAGAGUAUUUUCAUUCAGUCUGGCACUAAAAUAUACAAUUCUUACAGGAAACAAAAGUUAAAAGUUAUUGGUAAUGAAAAAAAAAAACCUACAUUACUUUAUUCACUUUAGUUCCCUGAGGAGUUAGUUAUUAGUGUGUACAUGUUAUUGUUAAAGUGAUUUUUAAUAUUAAAAGAUGAAUAUGGAUUUUUAUAAUGCAGUUUUGGUUAAUUCAUUCUGCAAAAUGUGACCUUGACUUGCUGUUUUUCUCUUCCCUCCUUAAUAAUGUUAUCUUUAAAUUAGAAAAUAGUACUUUUCAUAUUCGGUUUAUUAUAUUGUAUAAUCAAAGUAUUAUUUCGCCCAUGUAGUCUUUUAAGGAGACCAUGCCAUUUUCUAUUCCUCUUUCUCCUUACUAUUUAAGACAUGUGCUUAGAGGGAGCACAUUGAUUAUGGAGGGCUUCUAUGGGAAUUCGCUAGUGAGAAUAUAUUAUUACCCAGAUUGAGUAGUGCCCCUUUGAUGCAUUAAAAUUGCCAUGACUCAGGAACCAAUGUCCCAGGAGAGAUCUUGGUAUCCAAGAUAAUAAAGUUAGGUAAGAAAGACUAGAUUACCUCUCUUUUAGAUGAGGAAAGAUGAUUAAAGCAUGACUUAUGAUGCACUUUACAAAAGUGUGGAUUCCAUCAUGCUAAAACACUUCCCAGCUGACUAAUACUUGAAAAUUCACUAGUGAAACGUUUUCCCUUAAAACUCUCAUAUAUUGUUGCAUCAUUCAAAUAUAUUUAUUCAGCAUUUCACACAUUUCAUACGUUACUCUAGAUGCUGGGAAAAGCUAUAGACAAAAAAAAGAAAUCUCUGUCCUUAAAAAGUUUCUAAUAGAAGUGGGGUGCAAGUAGAACAGACAGAAAUAUACUAAAUGUGUAACAUAUAAAAACUUAGAUUAUGUUGUCCAAACAAAAUACAUAGGAAAGCCAUGAAUGGAGUGUCAGGGGAUUGCAGUUUUUAAAAAUUGCCAGGAAAGGCUUUAUUGGGAUGACGUUUGAAUAAAGGCCUGAGUGAGAUAUGAAAGCAAAGCCAAACGGAGGAAGAGUGUUCUGGACAGAGAGAACAGCCUGUGCAGGUCCCAAGGAAACAGAAUGUUUAGCAUGUUCGGUGGGAGAGAUGAGUGUAUCUGGUGUGAAGGGAGAAAGGAUGAGAGUAGAAGAAAUGGAAGUCGGGUGUUAACAGAGUUGCAAGGACACACUAUGUUAGACCUUGCAAGUCGUUAUAAACCGCUGGCUUUAGAUGAAGAUGGAAAGCCACUGGAGGGGAUUUAAGCAGAAGAAUGACAUGAAUAUACUUUCAUUAACAAUCUCAUUAACAAUCUCUCUGCUGUGUUAAGAAUAGGUAAGGGUGUUCCAGGUUAUGAGCAAGAGAUUAGGAGGCUAUUGAAAUAAUCUAGAAGGUGGCUGUCACUGGGUGGCAAUGGAAUGGUAGGGAGUAGUGAAUUCUGAAUACGUUUUGAAUAUAGAGUCAACAAGAUUAGCACAUUGAAAGUGGAAUAUGACAGAAAAACAGUGACCCAAGGGUGGCCUUGAGUAUUUUUAACCUGUGUAACUUUUGAAAAGAUAAAAUAACUAGAAACUCUAGACAGAAAAAUUUGUGGGAGAGACAGGUUUGAAGAAGUUUAGGAACUCAGUUUCUGUCAUGCUAUGUUUAAGAUGCUAUAGUUGCCUCUAGUUUAUCUGUGAUAUUGGGGUUAAUUAUGUAAAUCUGGAGCUUUCAGCAUUGACAUGGAAUUUAAAGUCAUGAACUAAAUGAGAUAAAAGGAAGUGAGUAUAAAUAGAAUAAAAAGCAGGUUUGAGGUGUGAGUGCCAGGGCACUGGAUGAUGAAGAACAAUCAGGAAAAGUGACAGAGAAUGAAUGGCCAUUGAGAUAAUAGAAAAAAUUCAAUUUGAUGCCCAGAAAGCAAAGAAAGUUAUUUCAAGGAGGAGGCAAUGAUCUGUCCCAAAUGUUGAUAGCUCUGCAAGGUGAGGAGUGAGAACUGAACUUUGGAUAUAAUCAAUUCAGUAUGAGUCUAGUGGCCAUCAGAACAUCUCAUAUGUCUUAGACUGCAUUGAUUUAUAGAGUAAAGGUGGCUGAUACUCAGCUCUGCUCGGCACAUUCACUUCCAACUGGGAAUAUUGUGCCCAAUUCUAGAUAGCACAGGUUAACAGUCAUACAAAUAUAUUUUAAAAUGAUGGGAAAUAUGAGGUAACUCACAAUCAUGUAAGAUGGAUACCAAUUGAAAGAAUGGGUUUGGCUAAGUUGGAGAAAACUAAGAAGAUACAACAGUAAAAACUUGCAGCUUUAUAUCUUAGAAAGUUCUUUCUUAUAUUCGGUUACUCUAUGUCUUUCUGUUGUUUCUGCUCAUUCAUUGAUGUAUUUAAUACAUAUUAAGCACCUGUCAUGAGUCAUUCUGCUAACUGCUGGAUAUGGGGUAGUAUGAAACAAAGACAAGAUUCCUGUGUUCACAGAAUAGAUUCUCUGAAAGAUUUUAGUCCAAACACGUCAUAUGUUAUGAUGGGAUCCCAGGAUCUAUUCCUGCAUUAGCAGGAAACUCACUUGCUAAACACAAUGAAGAGGAGAGACCUUACCUUUAAGUUUCAGUGAACAAAUAAUUUCUUAGUUUUAAAACUUGCUUCUACUUAUAAUUUUCAGUGAAACUGGAAAUCUUCACAUAGAGACAAGUUUAGGUCACUUGCUAGUCAACCUUUCUCCUAAGUAAGUUCUGCUUAUGCCAUUCAUUAGAUAUUUAACAGUUAACACAGGAAACUGUCUUCAUUUAUAUUUUAUAUAAAUGGAGCAUUCAUUUAAAAUCACUGUUUAAUAUGUUUAAGAUAACAUAAUGUUGUGCAGUGUUUUAUUGAAAUGUGGGUUGUGAUUUUACUCGUUUGUUGAAUACUUAUUGAAUGCUUACUGUAUGCCAGGUAAUUUGCUGAGGGCUGGAUAUUCAGUGGUGACAUGAACAUAGCCUCUCAUGGAACUUAGACUAUAGGGAGAGAUAUAUUUUAAUCUCUUUCCUUUUUACUUCCCACUUACCACGGCAUAAUUCUUCAGUGUUCUUAUGAGAUUUUCAUUACAUGAAUCUUAGACUAUGAAUAGAAUUAUCUGCUGUAUAGCUAAUGUUUGGUGAACACAGCAGGCAGUUUGUAAAUCUAGAGUUAUUAUUCUUGACUCUUUGUUAGAUCUCAUUGAUGGCAAAGAGAGGAUGUUGUGUCAUUUUUUUUCAGUAAGCCUGGGCAUCAGCACUACAUCUUUCUUGAGCCAGCAGAGCAAACAGAUAAUUAUUUAAUAUCCUGUGUUUGAUGAUAACCAUUUUUUCUUGGCAAAUGUUUGAAUUAAGCAAGUUUUCUUUAUUGAAAUUUCCAAAAUACAAAGUCCUUCUUUUUAGCCACUUAGAUACAUGCAGAUACUUCAAAGUGUGUCUGAGUAAAUAUAAAAUAUUAAGUAUACCAGUAGAUUCAUAACAGUUUUUUACUGCAGUUAACCUUGGUUAAAUGUACACCUAUUUUCAAUACCAAGAAAAUGAUAGUUCAUUUUGUUGGAAUUUUUAAAAUUUCCUUCAUUUACCAUAUCUAUUAUUUUUACCUUGAUUCUCUUGAUAGAUAUAUUUUGGUAAGUUUAGGAGUAAAUGUAGAGGGUGGGAAGGAGUGGAGUAUAGUUGGAUGAUAGAUCCUAAAUUUUACUAUUUUAAACAAAGCUUACAAUUACAGAAAAUUGUAGACAACUGAUCACAGGAGAUACUUAUUUUAGGUCAGGUGCCCAUCACUGGUUUGGCCUGUAUUAUCGUGUAGCUAAAUAGGCCUGGGUUUUGUUUGGAUACAGAGGCAUAUAUCGUUUUAGAAGUACUUGGUGAUGAACUCCUCACUUAAAUAAUUUUACUUAUUAUAAAAGAAUAAGUGAUAUAAUGCUGAAGUUUCUAUAAUAUAAAAAACACUUAGGACCAAUUGUUUCUGAAUUCCAUUGAUAGUGUCUUUUGAAUUUAGAGUUAAAAUUGAACUAUAGCUUAUUUUAUAACAACUAUUUCCCUAUAUGCAUAUAUUAUUCCUGGCAAUUCUAAAUAUUUCCUCAGCUGGUAGAAUCUUCACUCUGUCUCUGUGUGUACACCCACUCUCUCUCAUUCUCCUCCCAUACACCCUCAUUUUUUAUACUACAUAACCCCAGUGUUAGAAAAGGUAUGUUCACUGGGGAAAAAAAAGCCUUUUUUCAGGAUUGUUAUUAAUAAGUACAAAAUAAAAUAGUGAGUGAAAAAUCUAUCAAUAAAAGGCUUGCACAUAUCCCUUCUGCCCUCUACAAUGUGAACCUCUUUUGCUUCUACUCCUUCUGUGAACACACAGAAACAUUUCACUCAGCUUGCUGGCCAAGGCCUUGGAUUGUAAAAAACUAUGACGUUCUCAAUGCUUUUAUGUUUGUUUGCCUAGGUGACAAAUAGUGAAGAUUUGUCUUCCUCUGUAUAUGUGUUGAAGGCAUCCUUAAUACCCUCUUUUCUUGAUUUUAUGUUUCUGCAAUCUCAAAGAAUAGAAUGCCCCUAUUUGCCCUGGCACACUUACACACACAUAUUUUUUAGAGUGUGGCAACCGAUGUUAUUUAAGAGGUAGGAUACACAUGUUGAGAGAGUCUAGUUUCCUUCUUUCAGACUUACCCUAUUGUGCACUUACAUGUUAUGUGAGUUCUGUGACCCCGUUUUUGCCUUAAGGCCAAUCCUGCUAGAUUAUUGUAUUUCAUGCCUUUCGUCUGCCGUUGAGUUUACAAAAAUCUAAUAAAGGUUUAUAAAUGACUUCCCCAAGCUAGAAAAUCUAAUGGCACUGAUGUUUAUGAAAUGCUCCGUAGCCCCACCAAGGAUCAAUGUUAUUUUCAGAUAGAAACUUUUUUAAAUUACCUGAGAUUUUCUUUGCCACUCUUGUAUAAUCAGAACCCAAUUAAAAAGAUUCUGAUGAAUAUUAUGAGGAUGUAAUUAGAGGCAAAUUUUAUGUUAGUUCUAAUAUACUCAUAUGUUGGUAAAGGAAGUUAUCCCAGUACAAACUUAAUGCAGAUUUUUAAAAAAUCAGUCUAUCCAUUAACAUUAAUUUUGCAGUAUUUUUCUAAGGAAACACAUCAAAAGACAGUAGCAAUACUUCUGCCUUAGGCGAAAAAUCUCAAAAAUAUUUGUUGUGCUCAAAAGAGUCUGUCUGCCCCUUCAUGGAUGGUUUAAGAUAACUUUUGGCAACAGAAAGCAGACCACUGAUAAUACUUGGAGGUAGUUUUGUAUUCAUGAUUUAAUACAUGUGAAAUAUGUAAUGGAGGGACUCCUGGAGUGAAGAUUUUAAUAUUUCAGUUGUAGAUAACUCUCUUUGAAAACAUAGCUUUUUAUACAGAUUUGGUGUGAAAAUGUUUAGUUGAGCAGAUGGAGAUCCAGCUGGUAGAAUAUAUGUUUGUCAGGGUAUCUGGCAUUUAGCUACAUCCAAAAAUGAUACCAAACUGAAAGAUGCUAAAGAGCAGCACUGUACAAAAGCCAGUAUGAUCAGUUAGGGGUAGAGUCCUUUAAUUUUGGAUUUCCUAACCUUGUAGAAAUACAUUUUAAUCCAGAUGGAAUUUUUCAUUUUAAAAAUAAAAUCUGAGAAAAUGUAAAUAAAAUUGUCAAACAUCUGCCUUUCCAAAAUCUUGAUUACAGUAGGCUAGGAAAAACAUUCUACUUUGUGUGUUAAAAUUUAGUACCUAAUGAAUAGUAUAUAUUUGUACAUGUACAAUAAACAUGCACAUUUCCCAGAACUUUAUAUUCUAUAUAUUUGAUAUCAUUAUUUUGGUUUCUUGAACUAAACUGUAAGAAGUGGUGGAUGAUAAUUGAGUAGAUAUUAAGAGAAAGAAGGAAAGAAUUUGUAGAAGAAUUACAAGAGUCCUAAAUGUACUCAAAAAUGUUUCACCCCACUGGAUUCCAGUAUUUAAGUCCCCACUGAGAUGGAUAAAAGGCCAGCUUAGUAAGGAAUCAUGUGUUUACUCCUAAAUGUUACAGCCUAUACAUUUAGUUGAUUAAUACAGUCUGCUUAUUUGUUUCUUUCAUAAAGAAAUGAAUAUUUAGAAAUAAAUUAUUUUGUUAAAAUUCUUAAAUAUGUGUACUCAAAAAAUUCUAUAUUAUGCAUUUGAAGUUGUUUAUUUUAAUUUAAAGCAAUUAGGCAAAACUAAGAAGUUUUUUUCAUCUUGUUUUUUGUUUGGUUUGCCCUUUAGAUACCAUAUUAAUAAAACCUUCAUUCAAACUUUUAAAUUAAGUCCACUGAAAAUGCCCAACUUAAUUAAUUGUUACCCUGUAUGGCCCUCAAAAAGUGAUAAUUGGCAUAUUCAUUCAUAGUGCUAGUAAAACACACACACACAUAAAGCACAGGUAGGGAACAGAAUGCUCCCUGAAUCUGUAGAACUGCUUAUCAUAGUGAGUAAAAGUAUCUAUAGGUGACUUUUGGAAGGCUUCCCUUAGGAAUGUAUUUGACUCACUAAAUCCAAAGAGAAUAUUUAACCCUUAUUUGAUAUAAUGACUUCAUGAAAAUGGGUCCUAAUUUUGAAGGUAUAAUCAGAGUUAGAUAGUCACUAGUAUGCCUCUCUAAUUCAGUCAUUGAUAUAACCUGAGCUACAUGGACUGCUUUAAAAUAUUCCCUUACCAAAAACUAAAGCUGGGAAAAGCGUGUUCCUUAUGAGCAUGAUUUAGUAAAUCCAGACUUAGAAAUUAAUUAAUGAAGAGUGUGCCUCUGCAAAAGUCCAGUAUAUUUAUCAGAAAAGCACCCCUCUAUGAAAUAAUAAAGAUUUCGGUCUUCCUGGGGAGCUUUAUAUUUUAUAAAACAAGACACACCAAAAAAGGAAUCACUUGCAGUAGAUUAUAAGAGAUACAAAAUUUCCCUGUAAGUUUUUGUUGUAAUAUUUCUUCCUACAUUUUAAAAAGGAUAGUAAUUAAUGCUAUAGUUUUUCUUCAAAUUCCAUCUUAAACUUUACUUGUUUUAUAUCACCUUCCUACAGUGUAAAUUAUAUAUAGUAUACAUUACAGAUAUAUAAUAAAGAAAUUACAUACAGUGUAAAUUUUAUACAUCUGUAUAUACAUGUUUGCAUUAUGUUUAUAAAAUAUGUGCAUGUAUUCAUCUGUAUAGUGUGAAAGCCUAUGUGCUUAACUUGUGACAUAUUGAGCCUUGUAUUGUUUUUUACAUUCAUUAUUCAUUCAUUCAUUCAAUGAAUCUUCACAGUGCUCUAUAAUGUAACUAGUAUUAGUGUCCUCAUUAUAAAUAUGAAGAAAUUAAUGUAUAAAGAGUUUGAAUAAGCCCAAGGUUGUACAGUGGCAGUAAUCAAACCCCAAAUUAUGCUCUUAAUCAAAAUGCCAUAUGGCUUUUGUUAAUUUUCUAACAUUUCUAAAAGCCAACAUUAAUCUCAAAAAGAGAUAGUUUGGACAUUUACCUGAGUAAGUGACCAGUUAGUUUAACAAAUUCCUGUAGAACUGACCAAUGAAUGUUGAUGCAGUGUGGAGUUGUGUAGACCACAGGGACCUGAAGAGGGAUUAUCUCCUUUAUAAGCAGCAGUCACUUCCCUCUUCUUGCUGAAGAUGCGUAAGUGCCCAGUGGGGCCAGAAAUAUCAAUUCCAGAAGUCAAGUCAGAAAUCUAGAUUUGUCAGUGAAAUUUCAGAUAUUGUAAUUUGUAUCUUGUAAUUAAACUUAAACAAAAAGUACCUUAAUGGUGUCUAACAAAACAAAUAUAUAGAGAGGAAAUAAGAAGAACAUUAAUUAGUGAGCUCAGUCAUAUCCAGACAUUGCAGGUUGAGUUCCAAGGAUAAACAAACUCUGAGACAGAGAUACAUAUGCAGGAAGUUUAUUGGGGAAUGCUCCUGGGAUCAGUGCCUCACCUAUUGUGAUUGAUAUAUACAUAAUCAACAGAUAAUAUAUUACUGUUGCCUACGAUUUGAUUCUUCUAUUCUCAAAUUAUUAUGUUCUCACAGUUGAUAUUAGGUGCUUGUUACAAUGCAAAUACUGAAACCCACACUCAGGAAGUUUUGAUUCUGUAGACAAACUUGGUGGAGAACAGUUAUAUACAUUUUUACAAGUAUGCAGGUAAUUCUAAUGAUUUUAAUACCUAUGCCACAUAUUGAGAUAUACUGAUUUAAAAGAGACAUAUAUAAAUAAGAAUUUAUAUAUUUUCUCGAGGGUAUGAGUUAUAUAUUGUAAAUCUUUUAUAAGCCCUCAUGUAAGACAUAAUAAAUAAUUUGAAUUUACUAUUUUAUUUAGCAAUUAUUACAUGAUACAAAAUAUACACAAAUUAUCUUGUAAACUGUAUAACGUUUUAUAAGUGAAAUUAUAUUUCAAUGAAUCAAAAUUAUUUUUGAAAAUUUCUGACUUGGUAAGCUCCUACAAUCCCAUAUUUCAUCAUUUUAAUGCUGCCUCAGGACUUGGCUAAUUGUGUUGGGCCAUCUUGUCUCUAAAGCAUUAAAUACUAGCAAAGCUGUGUAAGCUUUAAAUAUAAUUUUCCAAAUUAUAUUUUCCCACUAAUGCUUAUGAAAUUUCAUAUGUUAUCAAAAUUGCAAUAAAUUUCUUUAUUAUAAAAUAUAUUUCCCUUAGCUUUAAUUGCACCUCUGACCUGUGUCUAAUAGCAUCUUUUAAAACCAUGAAAGAGAAUACUAAGCAUUAUACUUCUGCAGAACCUGUUUUUUCUAGCUACAUUCUUAAGUAUAUUUAGUAAAUAUGAAAGGGAAUUGUUUUUCUCCCGAGUGAAGUAAAAUUGCACUACAAAUCAUUUUCUGCUAAUGACUGUAUUCUUUUAAAAUAGCGAAGCAUAUUUGGUCUCUAAUCACUUUGCCUAUCAUUGUAAUAUAAUGUUAAUUUUAAAGAGUUCUCUUUUGGAAUGAAAGAACUAAUAUACUGAAUCUUUAUUCGAAAUUUACUUAUAUAUUAAAAUGCUUUGCUAAGCUUUUGUUAAAUCUGCAGAAUAUUCCAACACCCUGAACCUUCUUAAUAUUAAAAUAUGACAUUUAUUAAAGCACUUCUGAGUAAAAUAAAACCAGGCAUGAAAAUGUAAUAUCAGACACAAUUUCUACAGUUUCACAAGGAGGUCAGCUAAUCAAUGAAAUGGAUCAGUGAUUUCUCCUCCUUAAAUGAGCAGCCCAUUAAUACUAGCACACAAUACAUGCUAGACAUUUCACCACUGAGUCACAUCUUUAAUUAUCUAUCAUACUUUCUGAUUAUAAUAUUUUAUCCAAUUUAUCCCUAAAUAUCUAGUAAAUGUAUAUUAGUAAGAGGGAGCCUCAGCAUAGAAUAUUUUUCAGCUUACCACAUAAAUUGAAACAAAUACAAAACAUCAACUUUUAUUGCUAUACAGAUAUUAUUUUUCAUGUGAAUUUAUAAUUGCACAGUUAUCAAUUACUAAAUAAAGAGUAUAUUUGAUUAUGAAUAUAUGUAAUCUUUUAGCAAAUCUUAUUGAAUCUACCUUCCAAAUAUUUGUAAAACAUAUAUAUGGAAUAUGACCACCUUCUUCACUUCCACGGCUAUGUAGCCCCUAGCAUUUCCUAUCUGGGUUACUGCAAAACUUUCUAAUAGGUCUCCGUUGUUCUAUACUUGACUCUACAUCCAGUUCUCAAUCACAGCAGUUACAUCCUUUUUAAAGCAUAGACCAUUUUGUUCCUCUGCUCGGAAAGCUGCUGUGACUCCACAUCUCACUCAGAGCAAGAGUAGAAGUCUGCUAGGCUUUAUGUGAUCUGCUUCCUAUCUCACCUCCUCAGCGCCUCUGGUCUUGUCUACCACUAAACCCCUCACCCAUGCAUUCCAGCCAUGCUAGUCUGUUUAUUAAUCCUUAACACACACCAGAAGUGUUCCUAUCUUUGGGCCUUUGUUCUAGCUGUUCCCACUCCCUUAAAAUUAUCUACCCCUGGAUAUCUGUUUGGCUACCAAACUGAUCUCCAUCAAAUCAUUGUUCAAACUCUGCAUGCUCAAUGACAGUGUGCAAACAACCUUACUUAAUGUAACAACUUGUAACUUCUCAACAUUUCUGACCCCCUAACCCCACUCUUUUUUUUUUUUUCCUUUCUGGAGUACUUCACAACUUCCACACUGUACAGUUUCCUUAGUUGUUAACUCUAUUGUCCAUCUUUUUUGGGGGAAAAUAUGUGUUUUACUAAGAUAGAGGUAUUUAUUUUCCUUGAUUUUACUUCCUAAACACUUAUAAGAGUGGUGUGAACAUAUGAGGCCCUUAAUAAAUAUUUGUUAAAUAGAAUUGAAAUAAAUUCUAGUUUGUGACAUUAGCAGGAAGAUAAAUUAUUAAAUGCAUAUGAUUUUUAUUUAAGAAUUGGAAUCUAAAUCUAAGUGACAGCAAUGGUUCAGAGGUUGAAUUGCCAGAAAAAUUCAUUGUAUUUUUCAGAAAACACCACUAUUUUUCUUUUCCUUUCAACCACAGCUAGUUUCCUGAUUCUAGAAUUUGGGGUAACUUUAAAAUUAAGAAAACAAUAUUUUAAGAAGUAAAAGCUGACAAAUGAUUGCUGCUUUCUUCUAAAGCUUUGUUAUUUUUUCAUAAAAACUACAUGAAGUUCUAAUAAUGAGUCUCAUUAUGGUAUCAUUGCCAAAAUGGUCAUGUCAUAGAUAACAAAGCAAAAAAAAACAAACAAAAAACAAAGUGACAUAGUACUUUUAUCUCUACUGUUUCUUAAAAGCAGUUGUCUUUAAAAACUAAGCAGAACAUGUAAUUUUAAGAUUAAGGUCAUUUUUUAAAUUAAAUAUAUUCAGCUUUGUUAAAAAUGCAUAAUUUAUUGCAUUACCUGUCUUUUUCUCAUUUCUCAUGAAAACUACGUCAAGAAAUUGUUCUUAUCUGCAAAACUGCACUUAGAUACAAUGAAUUAGGGAACUUGUUGGCUUCAGAAUGCCUGGUUCCAAGUAGCUUCUUUCUGUGCAUAUCCUUCACUUUCUCACCAAGCAGAUGGCAGCAUAGUGGUAAGUUAUGGAGACAUGCAGGCCAAUUUAUUCUGCCAUGCACUAAAAACUGUGCUAGAAUUUGUGGGCAAAAUAAAAGCAAGAGAAAGAAACUAACACUUUCUGAGAGCGAUAUUAUAUACCAAGCUCUGUGUUAGUGUUUUCAUAUACACUAUUUUAUUCAAGACAUUCUUGAAUUAGCAAGAGAGAGAUGUUAACACACAGGAGUACAGUAUGUCUUAUAAGUACAUUUUUUCUUUUUAGAAGGGUAAUGCCAUAAUUGGAUUAGUCGUUUGAACUUUAUGCAGUAUAAUAUUUCUGUCAAAAAGAAAUGGUGGGACUUUCCAGAUACAGUAAAUGAUUAUGAAGAAGGUAUUGAGGUGAGAAUGAGAGUUAUGAUUACUGGAUGGCUGACCUGAAGGAGGAUGAAGAGUUCCAGCUCAUAUGUAACCUCAUUAGAUAAACUGCUUUAUCACUUUCUAGCUAAUGACUCUCCAAGGGGUUCGUAAGCCAGCUGUGAUGGCAGCAGGAGCCAGUUUCACAUAUUGUAGGUGCUAGACACAGCCAAGGAUUUCUGCCUUUAUAACAGCUGAAGGGGUUGGAGGUGGGUUGGUUUGAUAUGAAGGGAGGACACAACUUAACUAUAUUUUAAUUCAGGCAAAAUGGGUUCUGCUUAAGCAGUCAAUAUCUAAACUUGUGAUUAUGUAUAAUUCUGUGACCAAGUUUAAAUGCAGCUUAAGACUAAAUCUUUAUAUGCCAAGGCCUCAUUAAAAAGAAAAUUAAUAAUUCCUUUGCUAAUGUUAAAAUUGAAUGACCUGAAAAAUGUGUCUGAGAAUUAACAGUGGCUAUAAUUCAUAUGUAAAAAUACCAAGGCCAUCACAAAACUGGGUGCGGUAGAAGUGUGUUGCCCCAAUUUAGUACCUUUACUUGUUGAAGAACUGUUUUUUCUCAGCUAGCUUCUACUGCCUUUCAUACCAUGCAUUCCUAGGACUGACUCCCACCUGUUAUGUAUGGGAAAUGUGAAUUCAUUUUCACAUUAGCUUAUUUAAGACAUAAUUAAAAUAGUAAAUCUUCUUUAAAGUCCCUAUAGUAAAUUUCAAAGCCAGAAAGUUGUGGGGUUUCUGCAGGAAUAUUUUAUAUCUACCUAGGCAAACAUACCACUUACACACUAGAGAAUAAAGCCCUCAAGAGCAUCUGCCUGUAAGUUUGCUUGCAUCCUAAAAGAAAGAAAGAAUAAGGACAGAAGAGAGGAAUUCCAAAAUGUUGAACAUGUUAUUAUAUGUUGAGGAAAGAGCAGCCAGGGAGAAAUGACCCCCGUAAGCACAGCAGGUAGUUUUACUAAAUGUACAAACUGAAAUUACUAUGUUCCAUCUUAGGACUGUAGUUUAGUUUUCCUCUUGUCAAGGCUAAUUAUUAUUUUCCAACUGGCUUCUAAAUGUUUUCAAUAUUUGUUUGUAUUGCUAUCUCACUUGUAUAGUUAGAAGCCAAGCAUGUAGGGAAUGUAUUCAGAGAAUCUAAUAAUGAAUACUAUUCAUUUACAUAAUGCAGAAACUCAAUAUCAACAGGACAUUCUUGAAAAUACAUAAUCCUUCUGAAAUAUAAUCAGACAUACUAAACAAUUUUGCCUUGUUUACUUAGUCAUUUUACUAGUUAGUAUAGAAAGUAAUUUCUUUGCACAAUUGAUAUUUUAUACGUAAGUAAUUUAUUGCAUAUCAGAUAAGCACUUUGCAUCUGAUAGGUAGAUACUCAGAAGAGUAUAUAUUGCUUUAAAAGGAUAGAUGUUUUCACAGAAAGUGUUACACACAAUCUAGAAAUUCUAUAAUUACAGUAUGUAAUAUAAUACAAACAAUAUUAGAACAGUAGCUUUCCAAGUCUCUGAAAAUAUCUGUAACCUCACAGGGAAAACUCCUAAAUAUUUUCAGGUUGAUUCUACAGGUAAAUUCUGAUGUUAUAAGCUAAUUGACAUAUUCAGUUCAACAAAACGAAAAACUUAAAAGGAUAUAUUUUUAAACAUUGUUAGGAAGUUAGAAAGGGGGUGUUAUGCAACUAUUCUUAACCAUAGAUAAUCUCCUACAUAUGCAUUGUUAAAUAUGAGGAUUUUUAGAAAUCACUCCUCCCUGCUUUACCAGUUGUGGUUUGAGGGAGUAAAUUACACUCAUUCUUAGGAUCCGUUAGCUUCACUGUUAUUCUUCACUGUUAUUAUUAUAAGUACGGCAGUGCAGGCCCUUCCUAUGUUAGCACAACUAUAUCAUUUGCUUUCUUUCCAAUAAUAUGUUCUCAUUGUACCCUCUUACCACUUUCAAAAACAUAGGAGCUUAGCUGAGCCAUUUCUUUAACUUAGAGGAACUUUAAUUUCUACAACAGGAACAACCAACUCAACUUUUUUCCCAUCUAUCAAAAGUAUACUUUAGGGUGCAUACUCCAGCGGGUCUAGUCCUACAACUAGGUUCUUAUAAUAAAACAUAAACUGUGGAUCCCUAAAGAGAGGAUCAAACACUGAGAGUGAAUUUUUAGUACUUUUAGCAUCAGUAAAAUAACACACUAAAGAAGAUUAAAUAGUUUCAUAGGCCAUAAAUUUGAUAAGACAAAACACAGUACUUCUUAGGUAAAAAGUUGAACAAGAAAAGAUCAGCAGAGAGUGAAUCUGUUGAUCUUAGAGUUCAGUGAUGAGCACUUUGAAAAAUAUGCAGCAGAAGCCAAAUCACUUAUUCAUCCACAAGAGUAACACUAAUGUUACAGAGAUUUUUCAAAUAGAAAAAAAGUAGACUUAGCCAUUGGUUUCCAUCACUUAUUCAUCCAUAAAAGUAACACUAAGGUUACAGAGAUUUUUCAAAUACAAAAAAGUAGACUUAACCAUUGGUUUCCAUAACCAGAGAUAACAGCUGAAAUCAGAGUAAGCUGUUAUAUAAAGGGGGAUGAAGUUUCUGUCAUUUAGAUUGUUACGUAUUAAGUAUUUUUUUUUUAAUUUGUCAUAGAUUUGCAUGAUUUGGGACCUUUGAAGACAAAGACCACACAACUGCUGCAUAUUCUUAUAAUUAUGCUCUUUAUUCUAUGACUUAGUUUACUUCUUUGAGAUAUGUGACACACCGCUUAGAAGAAAUUACCCUACUAUUUUGUUAAGUGCGAAUACCUAAGUGAUACAUAUUUUAAUCAGAGAUUUAAACCCAAUGAAAGCAUCUAAUAUUCUGGGUUAUCAGAUUUUGAUAAUAUAUAUUUACUUACUUAUCCCUUAAUACAUUUUAUUUAAGAAAAUUUUAUUGUUAGUCUUAAUGUUAAUUUUCAAGUUUUUAAUGUAUAAAUAUCAUACUGACUUAACAUUUCUUAAAGCUUGCAAGCAUCAUUAAAAUAUUUAUUCAAUAACUAUAAUAUCUAAUAAAAUUCAUAGUUCAAUUCCAGACAAUUAUCAGUUAAAUAUCUAAGUUCAGUUUUCUUGAGUAAACAUUUGAUUUUUUUAUAUUCCCUCAAAAUUGGUUGUUAUCUUCAAAUCACGCCUACUAAUAUGGCUUUCAUAUUUGGUCAUCAUUGUAGGUCCAGUAUGUAAUGAGGUCUUGUUGCUCUUGGUUGAACUAAGAGCUCUGCAGAUGGUCAGUAGAUGUAUGCGUUACUUAAGGAUUGUGAGGCAAGUUAAAACUGAUAUGGAGGUUGGGCCUGUCAGUGAAAGGGUCAGCCUCUUUGCAGUCAAAUAUGUUUAUGCUACUUUGUUAAAUACUCAUCCAAGACAGAUUCUUCAUCUCUGCAGUUGUAAUCACAAUAGUAAUAAGGAUGAUUACUAUGCUAGUUAAAUAAGACAUAAAUAAUUAAUGUUAGACAAUAUAAUAAGAGCUGUGGUAAUGGGUGUAUUAUAUAGGAUUUUUGCCAUAUAACACUUGUUAGAAGGAAAAAAAAAAGAACUGUUUAGCCAAACUGAAACUCCUUGACAUUUAUUUUUUGAUGUAAUUUAUUUAGUAUAUGAUAUUUUAAAAAACUCAAACUAUUUUAGUUUUUUUUUUUUCCCAGUAUAAGGAAUAUUUCCUAUGGAUAUAUUUACCUCAGGAAAAAGUAAACAUAAUAAUAUUGUUUCAAUAUGACUAUUUUUUAAAACAUUCUAAAUAGCCUAAACUGCAUGUUGAGACAGCUAUUGUUACGUAGAGCUAAUACCUUAUAAAAACAAAACAAUUGAAAUAAAUGGAUGAAGAGAAGGAUAAGGAAGUUAAUGAAACAGAAAAAUAUAGGAGAAAAGACUGUGGACUAUAAAACAUAGAAGAAUUGAAAAUGAAAAGAAAGAUGAAAUGAGUGAAAUUAUAAAAUAUACCACAGGAGUAGAAAAGAUAAAGGAGGAGAGAGAAGAGAAACAUCAUCUUUAAACUCAUUAUCCCUAAUGAAUUUGCUACCAUCUUGUAUCUGUCUACCAGUUAAUGCUAGGCCAUGGUAUUGUUGCCGCAGAUUUUUCUCCUUCCUAGCCUAAGACUGCCUUCCUUAGUCUGGUCCUAUUUCUUAAUCAUCACCUCAUUGCAGCGUAAGGAAACUUCUGCUUGAGUCUUUAUAUUGCUUGUGCCGUAUCUUUUAAGAAAACUUAACCUUAAUGAUUAAUACUUAUUUACUUUUAUUUUUUUAAAUCUGAAAUCAUAUGAAAGAUACCUUGGGUCUAAUUUAACAAUCUUAAUUUUUUUAUUUAGUAAUUGUUUAAAAAAGAGAAUGUAUUUUGUUCUGCUUAGUUAUCCACAUUUAAUUUUGUUUAUAUCUUUUUAUACCAACUAAGGAUAUUUUUACUAUAUGAGGUUCUUUUAAAACAUUUGUUUUUUCUGCCUAUAAAAGCAAUAAGUGUUUCCUGAAGAAAAUGGGAAACCCAGUAUGCACAAUAGAAAAACAAGAAAGAAAAUAAUCACCAGCUAUUAAAAUUUUCCCAACUUUUCAUCUAUAGUAUAUAUUUCAUCUUAUAUGCUACUUUUUCCUCAAUACCACGUAGUAUCCUUUCCUCAUGAAAUGAAAUCUUUUUUGAAAACAUUACCACCACUGUUUUUAUAAUAUUAACAUCUGAAAGUUAUUCAGGUUGUCUCCAACUCUCUACUACUACAGACAUACCUGGUUUGAUUCUGUUUUGCAGAUAUUGCAUUUUUUACGAAUUGAAGGUUGUGGCAGUCCUGCAUUGAGCUAGUCUAUCAGUAUCAGUUUUCCAACAACAUGUGCUUACGUAGUGUCUCUGUGUCACAUUGUAUUUUAUAUUUUUCAUUAUUAUUAUAACUUUCAUGGUGAUCUGUGAUCAGAAAUCUUUGAUGUUACUAUUGUAAUUGUUUGGGAGCACCAUAAGCCAUGCCUGUACAAGACUAUAACAUAGCAAACUUAAUUGAUAAAUGCUGUGUGUAUUCCGACUGCCCCACCAACUAUUUCCCUAUCUCACUUCCUCUCCUUGGGCUUUCCUAUUCCUUGAGACGGAACAAUAAUAAAAUUAAGCCAUUUAAUAACUCUAAAGUAACUUUAAGUGUUCAAAUGCAAGAAUGAGUUACAGGUCUCUCACUUUAAAUCAAAAGCUAGAAAUAAUUAAAUUCAGUGAGAAAGGCAUGUGGAAAGCUGAAGGCCAAAAGCUAGACCUCUUGCACCAUACCAUUAGCCAAGUUGUGUAUUCAAAGGAAAAGUUCUUGAAAGAAAUGAAAAGUACUACUCCAGUGAAUACACAGAGGAUAAGACAGUGAAACAGCCUUAUUGCUGAUAUGGAGAAAGUUUUAGUGGUCUAAGUAAAAGAUCAAACCAGCCAUAACAUUUUCUUAGUCCAAAACCUAAUCAACAGCACAGGCAUAGCUCUCUUCAAGUCAGUAAGGGCUAAGAGAGAUGAGGAAUCUCAGAAGGCAAGUUAGGUGCUGGCAAAGGUAGGUUCGUGAGAGUUAAAAAAAGGAGCCAUCUCCAUAACAUGAAAGUGCAAGAUGAAGCAAGUGUUGAUAUAGAAACUACAGCCAGCUAUCUAAAAGGUGUAGCUAAGAUAAUUGAUGAAAGUGACUACUCUAAAGAACAAAUUUUCAGUGUAGAUGAAACAGCCUUAUAUUGGAAAAUGAUGCCAUCUAGAACUUGGUAUCUGGAAAGGAGAAGUCAUUGUCUAGAUUCAAGAUUCAAAGGAGAGGCUGACUUUCUUUUUAAGGGCUAAAGCACCUGGUGAAUUGAAGUUGGAGAUUCUGCUCAUUUAACAUCCAGAAAUCUUAGGACCCUUAAAUUAUUUUAAAUUUACUCUGUUUUCUAUUAGUGGAUCAAUGAAACCUUGAUAACAGCACAUAUGUUUACAGCAUGGCUUACUGAAUGUUUUAAGCCCGCUGUUGAGACCUACUGCUUAGCGGAGAAAAAUGCCUUUUAAAAUAUUACUGCUGAUUGGCAAUGUACCUGGUCACCCAAGGGCUCCGAUGGAGAUAUAGGAGAUUAAUAUUAUUUUAAUACCAUUGUCAUGCCUGCUAAAACGAUAUUUAUUCUGCAGCCCAUAGAUCAAAGAAUAAUUUCACCUUUCAGGCCUUUUCUAAGAAACACAUUUCCUAAGGCUAUAGCUGCAGUAGAUAGUGAUUCCUUUGAUAGAUCUGUGCAAAGUAAAUUGAAAACUUUUCUGGAAGGGAUUCACCAUUCGAUAUGCCAUUAAAGGCAUUCAUGAUUCAUGGGAGGAGGUCAAAUUUUCUACAUCAAUAGGAGUUGGAAGAAGUCGAUUCCAGCCCUUGUGGAUGAUGGUGAGGGGUUCAAGACUUCAGUGGAAGAAGUAACUGCAGAUGUGGUGAAAAUUGCAAGAGAACUAGAAUUAGAAGUGGAUGCCGAAGAUGUCACUGAAUUACCACAAUCUCAAGAUAAAACUGUAAUGAAUGAGGAGCUGCUUCUUAUGGAUGGGCAAAGAAAGUGGUUUCUUGAGAAGAAAUAUAGUCUUCAUGAAGAUUAUUUGAAUAUUGUUGAAAUGACAAAGAAGGACUUAGAAUGUUACUUAUAUAAAGUUAGCUGAUAAAGCAGUGGCAAGGUUUGAGAAGGUUGACUUUAAUUUUGAAAGAACUUCUACUGUGGGUAAAUUGUUAUCACCCAGCAUCACAGGCCGGGCUUACACCUGCAAUCCUAGCACUUUGGGAGCCCGAAGCUGUUGGAUCAUGUCAGCCAGGAGUUCAAGACCAACCUGAGUAACAUCGUGAGAUGUUACCAUCUGUGUAACAACAACAACAAAAAAAGUAGCCAAGCACGAUGCACAUACCUGUAGUCCCAACUACUUGGGAGACUGAGGUGGGAGGAUCACUUGAACCCAAGAGGUCAAGGUUGCAGUGAGCUGUGAUCACACCACUGUAGGGAGACACUCAAAAAAACAAAACAAAACAAAAAAACUUAGCAUCACGUGCUACAGAGAAAUAUUUCACAAAAGGAAGAGUCAACUGAUGCAGCAAACAUCACUGUUAUUUUAAGAAAUUAUGACAGCCACCCCAACCUUCAGCUACUACCUGAUCAUCCAGGUAGCCAUCAACAUCAAGGCAAGCCCCCUAAUCAGCAAAAAGAUUAUGAGUCGCUGAAGGUGCAGAGGAUCCUUAGCAGUUUUUAGUAAUGAAGUAUUUUUUAAUUAAGAUUUUAGACAUAAUGCUGUUGCCACUUAAUGGACUAGAGUAUAAUGUAAACAUAACUUUUAUAUGUAUUGGGAAACCAAAACAUUCAUGUGACUCACCUUAUUGAAAUAUUUGCCUUAUUGCAGUGGUCUGGAACUAAAUCUGCAAUAUGACUGUAUUGAUAAUCCUUUCCUAUAUUUUUUCCUUUCUUUUUUUUUUUUUUUUUUUUUUUUUU